GCCGCGCUGAAUGGCUGCGGGCGGCAAGGCUCGAACCGUUGCUGUUGGUGCUCGGGCUGAAGAUGGCGGCGGCGACCGGUAAGAAUUCGGCCCCGUCGGCUGAGGUGAAGGCGGUGGCCGCGGGCUGGAUGCUGGAGUUCUCCUGCUGCUGCCUGUGUCGGCACUUCGGGGACGGGUGCCCCGCAGAGUUCCAGCGGUGGAGCGACGUGGCGCAUGCUCUUACUAAUGGCCUCUCCAAAAUACCUACACAUCAGAAAAAAAAGGUGUACCUCUGUCAGCUUUUGAUAAGGAUCGCAAAAGGAAAAAAACUUGAAUGUCAUUUUGAAAAUGAUAAAAGAAUUUCACCUUUGGAAUCUGCCCUGUCUUUCUGGACUUUACUUGAAAAGGAAGAAGUUGAACUGGAAAAGCUUCAUAAAGAUAUUCAUCAGUUGAUUCAAAUUCAGAUUGUAGCAGUCUAUAUGGAAAAUGGAUAUUUCAAGGAGGCUGCUGAAGCUCUUGAAAGGCUGUUUACAGACUCAGAAUCAGAUAAGCCUUUAAGGAUGAAGCUGGCAACUGUAAUUAAAAGCAAGGAUCCCUAUGUUCCUCUUCUCCAAACCUUCAGUUACAAUGUUUUGAUAAGUAAAAUCAAGUCUUACAUUGAACUUUUCAUGAAAGAAAAUGAAACUAACUUCUUAUUACAGGCAGCCACGAAAGAAGUAGAGUCUCAAGGACUGGGAGCAAUAACAUUGCAAAGCAAGACUGUGAAUGCUGAUGAAAAUGACAAAGAGAAUUUGGAAACAAAACAAAGGCCUCAUUCAGGAGGGAAACUCAGAGAGGCAACUGUUCUUCAGAGUUUGAAUGGCUUGCAAAAUGUGGAAAAACAAGGACAUGCUUUGGUUUCUACCCGAAAAAAACAGCGAUGGACUUACAAAGAGGACUUGAAACUGAAAUUAGGAGUAAAAGAGUUUGGAGUGGGUAACUGGGCUAAAAUUUUGGUCCAUGGUGACUUCAACAACCGAACUAGUGUCAUGUUAAAAGACAGAUGGAGAACACUGUGCAAGAUCCAAAAAAACUAAUUUGGACUAGAGGAGUCAACUCUUCUUAACCUUUCCCUACAUAAGGACCUAGUUUGUCUUUUCAGAAUACUAAUUUAUUUUAUUCUCAGAGUGUCCAGCGGUGUUGCUGUCCUAAAAUAUGUAACAGAAAAGUAAUAGAUAUUAGACAUUCAUGUAAGCUCAUUUGCUUGUGUAGUGAUGACUUAAACGUGUGUAGGUAAAAGGCCAUGCUUUAUAAUAGAAGACCUUAUUUCUGAAAUGGGAAAAUGCUUGCAGUGAUUUAAGAAAGGGCAGUUAUGUACAUAGAAGUAUUAAAUGCUUGGCAACAUGUUUGGGUUGAUAGUCAGGUGUUCUGUAUUUUUAAAGUGCUGUAUCUCUAGACAGAUUGAGCUUUUUAGUAUUUUAGUUCCUGUCAUAUAAUUCAUUCUAAUCUGAUUUGCUUCACUUUGAAAUUUUGAUCAGAUUUGUCAUUUCUGUCAGCAAGUUAUACAAAAAAAUAUGUAUGUAUUGGUAUUGCUCAUUUUACAAACCAGUUCCUUUUCUUGCAGUUAAAAAUGUGGUAGUCCAUGUAAUUUCUUAUUUAUAAAUACUAAAGGUGAGGGCGAGGGGUGGUUUGGUUUGGGUGGGGAUUAAGAAUGAAGCUUUAAGUUCUAGGUGGAAGAUUACUUUGAACUUAUGCAUACUGGCUUAAUACCAUCUCUUAUCUCACAGGAGAGAUUAAAAACAUAUGGAAAGUAACAGUGUGAUACUAGCACUUAACAGCUAACAUCUCUUGAUUAUCUUGUGUCACCUACCUUGUCUUAAGAAGUUGCAUCUUCUAGACCAGCAGGAAAAGGAACGCUCGAAAACAAAUGGCCAAAGUUGGGCUCAAUAACCAGUCUAUACUGACACUGGUAGCACAGCUCAUGAGAUGUUUCAUUUGUGCCCUCUGCUGUCUCUGCAGUUAUAGCAAGCUAAGAUAUGCUCUUAAGGGGGUAACCAACUAUCAAGGUGUCAUUGUAAAUAAUGUUCAUGAAAGACUGUAACAGAUGAUGGUACUAGGCUGUCUCUCUUGAUUCAGAUUGUGUGGAGAAGGUUCCACAACCUCAGAAAACCCAUACUUUUCACUGUCAUGGUGGUGUGAAUCUUUGGACUUAAACUAACAUAUCACAGCAUUCUUUCAAAAAGGAAAUCAAUACAGAGGUUUUCUGUACCUUUAUCUUUGGAUAAGAUUUUUCCUUUACAUGAACCUUACAAGGAAAAGCACCUGUUCAAGCUGGUCAUAAUAAAAUAAACCUCCCAGAUAUUUUUCCUGGCUACAAGGAAGACAUAUAUUCCUGCAGGCUGAAAUGUUUAGGAAGUAUUAAGAAACUCUUGCUUUCUGUUUUGGAAGCCUGCUUCCAUUAAGAUUAGAUACUUAAUAAAGUACAGUUACAAAGGUUUGUUUCACACUCUUAUUGUGGAGGAGACCUCAGCCAGAUCAUCUUCUUUAUUCUUUCCACCAGAUGCUACAGUUUCUUCUUGCAGCUGGUAGAAACAGUGACAAGCAGUAGCCUAUAGAUUGCACAGAGCUGCUGCAUGUCUUAACUGUAAAUUUUCUCAACCUUAAGUCAUCUUUUUUAUUAUUAUUUUUUUAACUUUUUUUUUUUUAGCAAACAUAAAUUUCAGGAUUUUGAUGAAAUACAGGCAUUGUCCUUCAGCAGGGAAUGCUAGAGCAGCUGUAAGCCAACAACUGAAAAAGUUUUAGCAGGUAUCUGAUGACUAAAGAAGUGCAGUAUGCUGCCUCUUUAAUGCCAUAACAGUAAUUGAAGGUAAGUAAUAGGUAGCAAAACAUGGAUUUGAACUAUCUGAGUAGCAGUCUUGCCUGUGCUUUAAUAUGAAUGCUCUGUGCUAGUCAUUGUGCAUCAGCAGUUUUAACUAGUAAUAAGUAAUUUUUUUUUAUGUCAGCCAAGGCUUUUGUCACAAAGUUUUGUUUAGGUUCAUCUGCCAUAAAGUUCACACUAUGUAUUAAUGACAUGAAGUUCUGAGAAAGGCUAUUUAACAACACUGGCUAGUCAUAUGUCUUCUAUGAAGGUGACUGGAUAUGAAAACAGCAAUGUAGAGGAAGAAUACUUGUAGUAUAAACAACUGUCUAGAUGAUAUUGGGAAGGAACAAAGGAUCUAAACUGACAUCCUGUUUUAGCUGUCCAACUUUAAUUUUUAUUCACCCUUGCUAUUUAAUGAUGACAGUAACUAUUCUCAGUCUUGAGAAUGUUUGGCUGGCUCUCUACUGAGUAGGUGCAAUGCCUGUAGACAGGACUGGCCAGUAAAGAAUGAGAACUUAAGGAAAAGCAGCUACUUUUAGAAACAUUACCUCUUUAAGUACAAAAGAGAAACACAGAAAUAUGCUUCUAGUGUGCUAAUACAAAGAUCAGUCUUAGUUUUUUGUAUUAAGACAGAGUUUCCCAAAAUGCUUCUUAAAGUUCUGACUCAUUGAAAAUUUGUCUAGGCUUCGGGAAGUGCAGCAGAAAGAUGUGGGUUUCUUGGUAUUGGUUAAUUUUCUUAAUCUUUUUGUUGUUGCUGUUUUAAAGGUCUUUUAGACUUUCAUGUGAAAAUAAAGCUAUGCACAAGGGGACAUGAGCAGUGCUCCAGCUGCCGAAUCUUCUUCCAGGUUCCUUGGCACUGAGAGUUGCCAACUGCUUCCCAGUAAUUACUGUUCUAGAAACCAGAUGUACAGGUUUGAGAGGAGUUCUGAUCCACCACCGUUAAACCUGAAAAAGGAUCUGGAUUAUUAGCAGGGAAGACUGAGUUUAAGUAAAAGUGCCCAUUGCUGUAAAAAGACCUCUUACACUACAGAAGCUGCAUCACCCUUUCACAAUAGUAAAUAAAGCAUUCAAAGCACUGAACACUUGAAUAUUGAAAUUCUGACAAACUGAAGAAUUGAAAUCUCAAAUUCUUCCCCCGUUUUAUCUAGGUAACAAUUUAUGUGAGAACUGAAAGGGUAAAUCUUCUGAGCUCUACAAGUUUCACUUUUUAGGCAUAAUAUAAAAUGCAGCUUUAAAUGACACCUUGAGAAGUCUUUGCUACAGAAGAGACAGCAGAAAAAAGACUUGUUACCCAUCGGCAUUAUGGCCAUCUCCAGAACAGCGAUGUGUGUCUGCAUUCAUAGCUGGAGACUGGCAAGCUACACACACAGUGUGUCCUACUUGGAGGUACUGCAUCCAUCGAGCGUAUGGCCGAUUCUCCAAAGCACAGUGCUGUGAAAGUGAUUCUGUUUUGAAUUCCACACAGUAUCUGCUCAGAAGGAAAAGUACCAAGUUAUGACAGAUAAAGCACAAGCUAGGUGUACACUUUUAAAUGUACUUACGUAGCAUAUGUGUGGUAUUUGAAGCGCAAGUUAGACAUCAUCAUUACUAAUAAAUCUGUUUCUGACCCUCA